rnacentral:rRNA from 1 species
UACGGUGCUGAAGCAACAAAUGCCCUGCUUCCAGGAAAAGCCUCUAAGCAUCAGGUAACAUCAAAUCGUACCCCAAACCGACACAGGUGGUCAGGUAGAGAAUACCAAGGCGCUUGAGAGAACUCGGGUGAAGGAACUAGGCAAAAUGGUGCCGUAACUUCGGGAGAAGGCACGCUGACACGUAGGUGAAGUGAUUUACUCAUGGAGCUGAAGUCAGUCGAAGAUACCAGCUGGCUGCAACUGUUUAUUAAAAACACAGCACUGUGCAAACACGAAAGUGGACGUAUACGGUGUGACGCCUGCCCGGUGCCGGAAGGUUAAUUGAUGGGGUCAGCGCAAGCGAAGCUCCUGAUCGAAGCCCCGGUAAACGGCGGCCGUAACUAUAACGGUCCUAAGGUAGCGAAAUUCCUUGUCGGGUAAGUUCCGACCUGCACGAAUGGCGUAAUGAUGGCCAGGCUGUCUCCACCCGAGACUCAGUGAAAUUGAACUCGCUGUGAAGAUGCAGUGUACCCGCGGCAAGACGGAAAGACCCCGUGAACCUUUACUAUAGCUUGACACUGAACAUUGAGCCUUGAUGUGUAGGAUAGGUGGGAGGCUUUGAAGUGUGGACGCCAGUCUGCAUGGAGCCGACCUUGAAAUACCACCCUUUAAUGUUUGAUGUUCUAACGUGGACCCGUAAUCCGGGUUGCGGACAGUGUCUGGUGGGUAGUUUGACUGGGGCGGUCUCCUCCUAAAGAGUAACGGAGGAGCACGAAGGUUGGCUAAUCCUGGUCGGACAUCAGGAGGUUAGUGCAAUGGCAUAAGCCAGCUUGACUGCGAGCGUGACGGCGCGAGCAGGUGCGAAAGCAGGUCAUAGUGAUCCGGUGGUUCUGAAUGGAAGGGCCAUCGCUCAACGGAUAAAAGGUACUCCGGGGAUAACAGGCUGAUACCGCCCAAGAGUUCAUAUCGACGGCGGUGUUUGGCACCUCGAUGUCGGCUCAUCACAUCCUGGGGCUGAAGUAGGUCCCAAGGGUAUGGCUGUUCGCCAUUUAAAGUGGUACGCGAGCUGGGUUUAGAACGUCGUGAGACAGUUCGGUCCCUAUCUGCCGUGGGCGCUGGAGAACUGAGGGGGGCUGCUCCUAGUACGAGAGGACCGGAGUGGACGCAUCACUGGUGUUCGGGUUGUCAUGCCAAUGGCACUGCCCGGUAGCUAAAUGCGGAAGAGAUAAGUGCUGAAAGCAUCUAAGCACGAAACUUGCCCCGAGAUGAGUUCUCCCUGAGACUUAGAGUCUCCUGAAGGAACGUUGAAGACGACGACGUUGAUAGGCCGGGUGUGUAAGCGCAGCGAUGCGUUGAGCUAACCGGUACUAAUG